GGCCUCGUAGCUCAGCUGGUAGAGCAUGCGCGUACAAAGCGUAGGCGGCGUCCGUGCGUGGGUUCGAAUCCCACCGAGGCUA
rfam:Echinostoma caproni strain Egypt genome assembly, scaffold: ECPE_scaffold0004715